CAGUCGCCACGGGAACACGGAGGGUGCAAGCGUUAAUCGGAAUUACUGGGCGUAAAGCGUGCGUAGGCGGUUCGUUAAGUCUGUUGUGAAAGCCCCGGGCUCAACCUGGGAAUGGCAAUGGAUACUGGCGAGCUAGAGUGUGUCAGAGGAUGGUGGAAUUCCCGGUGUAGCGGUGAAAUGCGUAGAGAUCGGGAGGAACAUCAGUGGCGAAGGCGGCCAUCUGGGACAACACUGACGCUGAGGCACGAAAGCGUGGGGAGCAAACAGGAUUAGAUACCCGCGUAGUCCCUGUCUCUUAUAC
rnacentral:rRNA from 1 species